UACGGAAGGCAGCAGUGGGGAAUAUUGCACAAUGGGCGCAAGCCUGAUGCAGCCAUGCCGCGUGUAUGAAGAAGGCCUUCGGGUUGUAAAGUACUUUCAGUCGUGAGGAAGGUGUUAAGGUUAAUAACCUUAGCAAUUGACGUUAGCGACAGAAGAAGCGCCGGCUAACUCCGUGCCAGCAGCCGCGGUAAUACGGAGGGUGCGAGCGUUAAUCGGAAUUACUGGGCGUAAAGGGCACGCAGGCGGUUAAUUAAGUUGGAUGUGAAAUCCCCGGGCUUAACCUGGGAAUGGCAUUCAAGACUGGUUAGCUAGAGUCUUGUAGAGGGGGUAGAAUUCCAUGUGUAGCGGUGAAAUGCGUAGAGAUGUGGAGGAAUACCGGUGGCGAAGGCGGCCCCUGGACAAAGGCUGACGCUCAUGUGCGAAAGCGUGGGGAGCAAACAGGGAUUAGAUACC
rnacentral:rRNA from 1 species